rnacentral:misc_RNA from 1 species
AAACCACAUAAACCUAACAAGUCAUUUCGAACAGCAAUUUACUGCAAAUCAAUUCACACUAUAUCUAAAUUAUGCAAAAACCAGAUGGCAUAUUUUGUAUCUUCCCUUUUUUCAUGUGAUCAUUCUUCGAUAUAGACUCAAGUGAUGAGAACAGCUGAACCCAGAUCAAAAAGCACACCACCUUUUUUUUCCUCUAACCAGAAUAA